rnacentral:misc_RNA from 1 species
AAAAAAAAAAAAAAAAAAAGCAUCCGAUGGUCCUCUGAUUAAUGUUUCUCAUUUACAUAACAUUUACAAAUCAUGGAGUCAGAGGAAGUAAUUAGGAAAUGAAUGGAAAGAAUUUACGUUACCUCUCUUAACCUUGCCUACAUCUUCUAACGCUUUAUUGGACACGUUUAAAAUCAGUUCAGUUACUAAAUCAAUUUGCCUUGGUUUGAUUCGAUGAAUAAUAGUUUAAAUUUUAAAAUAUCUAGUGAUUUUAACGAGAAAAUUUUUAAACAGAGUUGAAAAGUCAAUCAAGUUGGAUUAUGAAAACACUACAUUUUGAUAUGAU